rnacentral:misc_RNA from 1 species
GUUGAGUUAGGAGGCAAUCUAAAUGAUUGAUAGUCCGCCUGAAAUUUAGCAAAUUUACAAAUAUAGGAAGCGUAUUCCUGACAAUGGGAUUUCUCGAAAAGUAAAGUUCAAUCAAUUAGUCUGAUAAGACUUCGCUCUAUAAUUACCAGCGACAAAAGGGACUAAACUUAGCGACAAGAAUCCCCUAACCCACGUAUUUAAAGCUUAUGUGUAAAUAAACUUUAUAUAUGUAUUAUAAAUCCUGAAAGUGGGAAAUAAAAAAUUUAAAAGAGGACUGUUAUUUCAGGCCU